rnacentral:lncRNA from 1 species
CUUACUAAUUUCAAAUUCUAUGCGGCCUUUAUUCUCAUAUUCAAGCACAAAAUUACAUAUAUGUAUAUCACCUGAGGAUUCUAAGUCUAAACUAUUCACAAUCUCCUCACUAUUAUACAGACGGAUUAUCCAUUGGUAUAUUCACAUAUUUGGUAACCCAAAUUCUCAGUGAUACAAUAAGUGGCAAAAAUGGUCUUAUGACCAAUAUAUGCGGUAUAUUCACAUAUCUGGUAACCCAAAUUCUCAGUGAUACAAUAAGUGGCAAAAAUGGUCUUAUGACCAAUAUAUGCAAGAAACCAUUAUGCUACAAAAUCGGAUAGCAGAUGAGGCCCUGAAAACCUCUCUUGCUGGUUUACUGGGUCGAUGUAAUAAUAUUCUCCUUUGCUAAUGUCCAGAGUCGAUCCUGUCUUGUCAUCUUCCGCUAACUGUGUCCUACCAGAUAUUGGCUGCUGAUCAAUUUGACUGUUUUGUAGACGUAGAGCGAGUGAUACUUGAUUUCCCAUUAUAUCACCUAACAUGGAGGCGUGGUAUGUAUUGACAGCAUCAAUCUUCUCAUGUUCAUAAGCACUGUCUUGAAAACUAAAUUUGGUUAUGAAUGAAUUGUUUUGUACAUUGGUAACAACAUUACUUGACUCUUUAGAGGGGUCAAGAUGACUGCAAUUAACAGCUGGUGUAGUAAAGCUUUCGGGAACGUCUUGAAAAUUAAAUUUGGUUAUGAAUGAAUUGUUUUGUACAUUGGUAACAACAUUACUUGACUCUUCAGAGGGGUCAAGAUGACUGCAAUUAAUAGCUGGUGCAGUAAAGCUUUCAGGAAUCUCUUCUCCUGUGUUCUCAGCUAUUGUCUUUUCUUUGGACUCUUCUGGAGCACGGUCUGGUGAAGCUCUGGAUCCUGCUUCCGUCUCACCAAACUCUUCCUUGUACAUAUCUUCAAUCAUGGGCUUCCAGAGGCGCACCCGAGCAUUUAUGAACCAGUUCGCCACCUAACUCAAGCACGAGUUUUGUUAGUUAGAUAGCUGGCUAUGGCUUAAGCACUAUGACGUUUUCUGAAACUAAUGCUAAGUUAAACACAGAACUAACAAAUAAGAGAUACAGAUACAUGGAGAUAAGGUUGUCUCAGGUCUUCUAUAGUUUGUACUUGAAAAAGAGGAAGAGUAAGUUCAUUCACCUGAUUCCAAAAUCUAUACUAGAUUUGUUAGUCCCAUACAAAAAAGAAGAGUGCUAAAAAUUAC